rnacentral:lncRNA from 1 species
AAUGUAUGUAAUUAGACUCCUGAUGAGUCGAAAUUGGAUGAGUCGAAAUUUCGGUUGAGUCGAACUAAAUUUACGAUCCCAAGGUUAACAAAAGAAUUAAACAUUCAUUAUUUAUCUCGAACUUAUACACACAUGUCAAAACAUGACCUCCGGCAUUUAAAUGGAUUGAAGAGUUAAUCUGACAAUACACGUGUAAUUAAAUUUCCAGUCACUGACCACUAUAUUGAUUUAUGACAUGCUAUUUCCACGAGUGUUUACCUAAGAUUAUCUUUUAUAGAAUUUUUAUAAAUAAUUAGUGAUGCAUUGUUAAUGUUCAUGAAAAAGUAUUUAAAAUGUUUACAAAACAAUUAAUUGUGAUUUACACUAAUGAGCUUGGGUGUGUAUAAAGUAAGGAUUAUGACUUCCGUUGAUGAUCACCUAAAAACUACUCAAUCGGCG